GGGCUCGCUUAACCAAAUGAUCCACCCAGGCGCUCCUCAGAUUUAUUCUUCAUUCAUUCCAUAAGCGCUGUGCUGGGCACUUGGUGUGUAGAAGAGGAAUGACCCAGUCUCUCCUUCAUGUUCCUCGCAACAGGGCUUCCUGGGUCACGGUAGGACACCCUUGAAGAAACACCCAUGUUUCUUUCUCCCUGAGUAUUCCUCCUUGGGCCGUCCUGCUGACUCUGAAGCCAUUCUACUCCCCCGGGACUCCACUGAGAGACUGUUUUAGCCCUGAUUACAGAGGAGGAACCUGAGGUCCAGGUGUCCCCGAUGACACACAGCCAAGGAGCCAGUGUCAACAAAGCCCAGGUCUGAUUCCAAAGCAUGUGGCAGGAAGAUCAUCGUUGCCCUGGUGGCCGCCCUGGUGCCUCUGAUGACUGGGCCUGAAGCCCCGCCAUCCCUCCCGCAGCACCUGUUAGCGCAAAUCCUUCUUUACACCAAGCAGAAACUUCCAGAACCCCCACACCACAAUCUGUCCUGACAUGUUCUUUGAACAUCUUUCUCUGGGCAAGGCCACGAUGACCAGAAGUAGUCCCUGUGUUGGGUCUGAUGGGGGAGGCUUCCACGAACAGUGAACCCCAGGAAUCUGAUAGGAGAGGCCCUGAGGGCAGAGGAAGGAAUGACCACUCCCCUCUGAGUCUCCCUGCUGCACCAGCACCCCACCCACAAAGUGGGGCUAAUGGACCUGCCCCUCCCUGGGUCCCCAACAGGAAGCAUGUGAAACUAAAAGUGUUCCAGCCA